GCGCCCGUGCGCAACUGGCGAUAGGCAGAGGUCGACGCAGACCCUUUGCUGACGUGGGCCCGCAGGACAUUUCUGCUCCUGGACAACCACUGGGAAGCGCACCGCGAGAUCUCCGAUCCACCGCGUUCAGCCGUUCGCCUGGGCAGCCCUU
rnacentral:ncRNA from 2 species